CAGACCAACUCUUGUCCAGUAUGUAGAUAUGAACUUCCCACUGAUGAUCCACACUACGAAGAACUAAAGAAACACAAGGCCAGACAGAAACAAAGGGAACAUGAUCUAGAAACCCUUCAUGACUCAAUGUUUGGAUAGAACAUGAGACAGUGGGGCACUGCUCUUCGUACCUCAUUCAGAAUGCCACUGUAAUUUUCUGAACAUUAAAAAAUGCAUCCAUCUGAACAGUAGUUCUUGUCUAAAAAAUUUUUUUAUAGAAAGCUCUUUAUCAAGAUUUUUUUCUGAAACCAUGAAACAAGAUGAAAAAAAAAAGAAAAAAAAACAGAAAUUAAAAAUCUACAUGCAUCAUGUUUAACAUACUUAAAAAUAAACAGAAAUCUUUCAUUGCACAUAAAACCAGUUUCACAAUAACUUUUCAAUAAUUCGUUAAGUUUUGUGGACUAUAAAUGCACACUUACAAUAAGAUGCACUCCAAUUCAGGUAAAAGCAAAAAAUGUAGAUUUCUCUUAUUUGCAGAUCUGCUUUAUAAUCCUUUCCUUUUUGAAAUGGUGUCUUGAUAUCCUGACCACUGGGGGAGUCUUUUGGAAACGUCUUCAUGUACCAUCAGUUGUGAAUAAAGAUUGUCACAUUUU